ACAAAGGGAAUUGGUAUCGUAUGUGAAUGGUUCAUUUGAUCACUAAAGUCAUCGUUGAAUAUGUGGGAGCCAUUAUGGAUCUCCAGAUCCCGCUAUUGGUUAUUGGUCGGAGAGAAGUCUCAACCAUGUCUACAUAGUUCGCGAACCGUAGGGUGACACACUUAAGGUUUGAUGUCGUUUAAGUAGAUAUGGAAAUAUGGAAUGGAGUUCGAAGUUUUGUUCGGAGUCUCGGAUGGGAUCCAGGACAUCACGAGGAGGUCCGGAAUGGUCCGGAGAAUAAGAUUCAUAUAUAGGAAGUCAUUUUCUAGUUUUGAAAAUGAUCCGGUAUUUUUCCUGGAAGGUUCUAGAAGGUUCUAGAAGAGUCCGGAAGAAAUCAGCAUGGAAGGUGGAGUCCCAGAGGGACUCCACCCACCUUGGCCGGCCAGCCUAAGGGAGGAGGAGUCCCAAGUGGACUCCUCCCCAUGGUGGCCGGCCACCCCACCAAGGAAAGGGGGGAGUCCCACUCCCCCUAGGUUUGGUCAUAUGGAAGGUUUAUGUUGGGGUCUUAUUCGGAGACUUUUGACCUAAUCCUUGGGGCUUCCACCUAUAUAAAGAGAGGAGGGGAGGGGCUGGCCGGCCACUCUUGGCUCCACCUUGGCCGCACCCCUAUGAGGGCCGGCGCCCAAGCCCCCUCUCCCCAAAACCCUAGCUACCUCUCCUCCACCACAUCUCCCGCAUAUGCUUAGCGAAGCUCCGCCGGAGAUCUCCAUCGACAC